rnacentral:rRNA from 1 species
UACGUAGGGUCCAAGCGUUGUCCGGAUUUAUUGGGCGUAAAGAGCUCGUAGGCGGCUCAGUAAGUCGGAUGUGAAAUGCCGGGGCUCAACCCCGGGACUGCGUCCGAUACUCCCGAGCUGGAGGCAGGUAGGGGAGAUCGGAAUUCCUGGUGUAGCGGUGAAAUGCGCAGAUAUCAGGAGGAACACCGGUGGCGAAGGCGGAUCUCUGGGCCUUGCCUGACGCUGAGGCGCGAAAGCUAGGGGAGCGAACAGG